rnacentral:rRNA from 1 species
UGGGGAAUUUUGCACAAUGGGCGCAAGCCUGAUGCAGCGACGCCGCGUGAGGGAUGAAGGCCUUCGGGUUGUAAACCUUUUUCGCUCAUGGUCAAGCCGCAGCUUUGGGUUGUGGUGAGGGUAGUGGGUAAAGAAGCGCCGGCUAACUACGUGCCAGCAGCCGCGGUAAUACGUAGGGCGCGAGCGUUGUCCGGAAUUAUUGGGCGUAAAGGGCUUGUAGGCGGUUGGCCGCGUCUGCCGUGAAAUCCUCUGGCUUAACUGGGGGCGUGCGGCGGGUACGGGUUGACUUGAGUGCGGUAGGGGAGACUGGAAUUCCUGGUGUAGCGGUGGAAUGCGCAGAUAUCAGGAGGAACACCGGUGGCGAAGGCGGGUCUCUGGGCCGUUACUGACGCUGAGGAGCGAAAGCGUGGGGAGCGAACAGG